rnacentral:rRNA from 1 species
UACAGGGGGGGCAAGCGUUGUUCGGAAUUACUGGGCGUAAAGGGCCCGUAGGCGGCCAACUAAGUCACACGUGAAAUCCCCAGGCUUAACCUGGGAACUGCGUGUGAUGCUGGAUGGCUUGAAUUCGGGAGAGGGAUGCAGAAUUCCAGGUGUAGCGGUGAAAUGCGUAGAUAUCAGGAGGAACACCUGUGGUGUAGACAGCUUACUGGACCAUCACUGACGCUGAGACACGAAAGCGUGGGUAGCAAACAGG